GACGAACGCUGGCGGCGUGCCUAACACAUGCAAGUCGAGCGGAGACAUGGAAGUAGCAAUACGGAAAUGUUUUAGCGGCGGACGGGUGAGUAACGCGUGAGUAACCUGUCCUCAACAGGGGGAUAACGAGCCGAAAGGCUCACUAAUACCGCAUAAGACCACGGAGUCACAUGGCUUUGAGGUCAAAGGAGUAAUCCGGUUGAGGGUGGACUCGCGUCUGAUUAGCUAGUUGGUGGGGUAACGGCCUACCAAGGCGACGAUCAGUAGCCGACCUGAGAGGGUGAUCGGCCACAUUGGAACUGAGACACGGUCCAAACUCCUACGGGAGGCAGCAGUGGGGAAUAUUGGGCAACGGACGAAAGUCUGACCCAGCAACGCCGCGUGAAGGAAGAAGGUUUUCGGAUCGUAAACUUCUAUCCUUGGUGAAAUAAAAGAUGGUAGCCAAGAAGGAAGCCCCGGCUAACUACGUG
rnacentral:rRNA from 1 species